ACCUCCACCAGUGUUUAUCAGAACCCCCAACACUCAGUACGUAUUCAGAGAAUAAGAAAAUGUUCCUGUAACCUAAAAAUAUCAAGUAAACCUGGUCCAAGUAUGGAGUUCUUCUAUUCUCCUGGGCUUAAUGAAGAAAUAAACUUCGAUUUAGAAAAUUCAGAUCAUAUCAUUGUUCGACGAUCGGCUGGUGAAUCAGUAAAAUUAGCGGAAAAUGUGGUGAAAGAGGAAAUUACUUUUCUCGCCAAUAAAACUGGGCUAAAAAAAUGGCAAGUCGUCUGCGCCAUAAUAGUUCUGAUUGGUGUUGCUGUUGGGCUUCUGUUUUGGUGCAUUUGGAGAUUUUUUAAGAAAAAGAGACCAAAGGAUAGCAAGAAGAAAGGCAAGGACGGUAAAGAUCAGGAUGAUGAAGAUUUUCUGGUUGAUAACGAAGAAGAUUUGGACAUUAAGGACGAACUUGAAAUCAAGCAUGAUUCAACCGCAGAAUAUCUAGGAAAACUUCAAUACAAGCUGGAUUAUGAUUUCAACGCCCAAUCUCUAAACGUAACGGCAAUUCAAUGCUGCGAGCUUCCAGCGCUGGAUAUGGGCGGAACCUCCGAUCCGUAUGUCAAGGUAUAUCUGAUGCCGGACAAGAAACGUAAGUUUGAGACAAAAGUUCACAGAAAAACUCUCAAUCCUUUCUUCAAUGAAUCUUUUUCUUUCAAACAGGUUCCGUACAGUGAAACCUUCGACAAGACCCUGGUUUUUGCAGUGUUCGAUUACGACCGGUUCUCUAAACACGACCAGAUCGGUGAGGUAAAGAUCCCUCUGUGUAUGGUAGAUCUGGCGCAAACUAUUGAAGAAUGGAAGGAUAUCCAGUCGGUGAAGGUAGAUGAUCAGUAUCUGGGAGAUAUUUGCUUCUCUCUGCGAUAUGUGCCAACCUCGGGAAAGUUGACUGUAGGAAUUCUCGAGUGUAAAAACUUAAAGAAAAUGGAUAUUACGGGAGCUUCAGAUCCCUAUGUUAAAAUCAAGCUAUUGGACAGAAAGGGGAAACGAAUUGGAAAGAAGAAGAAAACUUCAGUGAAAAUGGGAAAUCUUAACCCAUAUUACAAUGAGAGUUUCGUCUUUAUCGUUGAACAAGAGCAGCUGAGGAGAGUAAGCCUGGAGAUGGUUAUCGCUGACUAUGAUAGGAUUGGGAGCUCGGAUCCUAUUGGAAGGGUUGAACUUGGUUAUAACAGAAAAGGAUUGGAACUGAAGCAUUGGAAAGAGAUGGUUGAGAAUCCACGACGUCCGAUUGUACAUUGGCAUGUACUUAAGGAUCCUGAACCAGGAGAUGACGAUGAUGAUGACAAGAAGAAAGAUAAGAAGAAGGAGGGCGGGGAGAAGAAGGAGAAAAGAAAAGAAGAUUCGAUAAAAAUUCAAUAAUCAAUUCCGAUCUCAUUGAAUAGGAAUAAUUAUCCUCUCAUCUAACACUAUCAAGAUAUUAUUAAACACCAUAAUAUUCCACUAAUGACAUCAAAGUCAUAAUUAACUUCUUAAACUCUUGAAUUACGUUUAAAAACUAAGCUUAUUAUUGCAAGUACCAAAACCAGAAGACCAGACUGAAUACGGUAAAAAUAUUAAUAUUUUUUGCGAAAUAAUUUUUACAUUUUCUGAUCUAUUACUUUAUUUGACUCCAAAUGUAAACUAGUUUGCAUCCUCGUCUAAUAUUAAACAAUCAUUUAAUGGAAAAUUGAUGUAUGAGUAUUGUGUAUAUAUAUAUCCAUUGAUUUAUAGUCUACACGAACAGGGGCGCGAAAAAUGCGCAUAAAGGAAUUGAGUCUUUGUCACAAAGACAAAUUUUUGAAUCCAAAUAUCUUAGCAACCUGAUGGUUUAAACC
rnacentral:misc_RNA from 1 species